CUACGGGGGCAGCAGUGGGGAAUAUUGGACAAUGGGCGAAAGCCUGAUCCAGCCAUGCCGCGUGUGUGAAGAAGGCCUUCGGGUUGUAAAGCACUUUCAGUGGGGAAGAAAGCCUUGGGGCUAAUACCCUCGAGGAAGGACAUCACCCACAGAAGAAGCACCGGCUAACUCCGUGCCAGCAGCCGCGGUAAUACGGAGGGUGCGAGCGUUAAUCGGAAUUACUGGGCGUAAAGCGCGCGUAGGCGGUCUGAUAAGCCGGUUGUGAAAGCCCCGGGCUCAACCUGGGAACGGCAUCCGGAACUGUCAGGCUAGAGUGCAGGAGAGGAAGGUAGAAUUCCCGGUGUAGCGGUGAAAUGCGUAGAGAUCGGGAGGAAUACCAGUGGCGAAGGCGGCCUUCUGGACUGGCACUGACGCUGAGGUGCGAAAGCGUGGGUAGCAAACAGGAUUAGAUACCCCGGUAGUC
rnacentral:rRNA from 1 species